AACAUUUUCGCCGGCCGCUUCACUCUCCCUUGUCGUCGAACUAAACCCAGUCAACAACUCAGUUCAUAAGGAGGACAGAGUCAUGAUUGGUGAUCAAGAGGAAAAUAAUGAAAAUAGUUGGAGAGCAAGAUAAUGGAGAUAGUCGAAUUUCUAAGGAAGAAGAAGAACAAAAGAAGGAACCCUUGGAGAAGAAGGAAUGCCUUUUUAAUGGCUAAUUCAAUUAAGUUGAUUCAAUGCUCAAUCAGUCGGUGAUGUUUCCCAAGUCAAUCCAAGGGAAGUAUCCUGGAUGCAGCUCUCAGCACUCAUAGGAUCAGGUUUUAGCAGGAUGCUUCUAUAGAGAUUAUACAGCUAAUGACCUGAGCGCAGAUGUGCAUCAAAAAGCUUACAAGAAUAUGUUUCAAGGGGAUGCAGCUGCGAGAGAAACGCAGAAAAGCAGAGAAUUUCAUUCAGGAUGAUUAGAAAAAUGACUUUACUGUAUCACUGACCUUUCCUCUUGGUGACAAUCUGUUGGUUCUUUUCUUGAAUCUAUGGAGGACAGUGUUGCUGGACAUAUUUACCAGUUAAUAAAUAUUCCUAUCUUUAGCCUUAUGUCAUUCCUAUUAUAGCUUAUUUUGUGAUGCUUGUAUCACUUGCAUGUUAAGGGAACACAGGUUCAUGUUGAUGAAGGUGGCACUACACAAACGCAUGGAGGUGUAUAUUGCUUCAUCUUGCCAGCUAGAUCACGAGUUUCUGAUUUGGGUUCCGCAAAGGAGGUUGAUGUCAAUUCCAAGAGAAUCAAGUCAUGUAGGUCGUAUAGAUACAUUGACCCAGAUCAAGUAUCUUUGACGCCAAGGCUUGAUUUGCUUUGAUCAAGACCUUUGUGAAGCUUGUUUCUUUGUAUGACAAAAAAUGGGCUACAGGUAAAUCCUUCUCUUUAAAUUUAGAGCUGAUGUAGACCCAUAUUUUAGCAUUUUCCUUUACAAGAAAUGUGUUAUGCAACACUUAAAGUGUUAGAGGUCAGCUGCUUAUGUUUUUACUAGCUCUAAUUGCAACACACAAGUAGUAGACCUGAUUAAGCACAUUGCAUCGGUCCACUAAUGUGGCAGUUCCAA